UGUGAUGCGUCGCUUUUGCUGGAUUCAACAAGAAGAGAGCUAGGAGAGAAAGAACACGACAGGAGCUUCGGUCUGAGAAACUUUAGAUACAUUGAGGAGAUUAAAGAAGCUCUCGAGAGGGAGUGCCCUGGUGUUGUCUCAUGUUCCGACAUCCUCGUCUUGUCCGCAAGAGAAGGCAUCGAAGCAGUGAGUUAAAUUUCAUGCCGUUUAUUUCUCUGAUUACGAAACUGCAUGUUGUUUUUUGGUGAAUCUUAUGUAAAGUGUGUGUCUAUCUCUCUUUGCAUGGUGGAGUUUCGUAUAUUUUUUGGGAUAAUUUUAGUGGAUAAGUACUGAUCUCUGUGUUAAAAUAUAGCUAUAGGUUUGCUUUUUUAACUGAAACAGAGCUUAAGAUUUACUAUGUUUUGUUUUGUUGCAUAUAGUCAUGUGAUGCGUCGCUUUUGCUGGAUUCAACAAGAAGAGAGCUAGGAGAGAAAGAACACGACAGGAGCUUCGGUCUGAGAAACUUUAGAUACAUUGAGGAGAUUAAAGAAGCUCUCGAGAGGGAGUGCCCUGGUGUUGUCUCAUGUUCCGACAUCCUCGUCUUGUCCGCAAGAGAAGGCAUCGAAGCAGUG
rnacentral:lncRNA from 1 species